UCUAUGCAGGAGCUGGGCUCGGCAGCUCACACUCACCCACCUGUGUUGCUCAUAGAGAUGAAGCUCAGAUGACAGCUGGUGACAUCGCAAGCAGAGGGACAACGACCUGGAGUCUCACUUCUGCUUCAUGGCUACGUGACUGCAUACCGUGAAAGAGGGAGCGUGGCUGGAAGGCUUUGGAAAGAUGAAAGGGGAACAAGUGUUCUUCAUCCCCAGCUCGCCUGAUGGCCAGUCCAGAUCUUCUGGUCCUGCAGCGUGUUGGCUGCAAGCAGCUGAUGGGGAGACAGGGCAGGGACCACAGGCUGUGUGGUGUUAUGCAGAUCACUGCACGUGCUCCCUGCUGCGUCUGCUUUUAUCUUCCAGGUUCUGCAACGACUGCUGAUGGUCAUACCACGACUGAGGAAUUCAGAGGAAUCCACAUCAGUUUGUAAGUGGCAAGGGCCAAGAGGCUGCUGGAUGAGGCUUCUAUGAUUUUCUUGGGUGCCCUGGCUGCCAGAGUCCAUUCCACCAGUGGGCGUUAGUCAAGCCUUCCUGACCCUGUAGCUGGCCAAGAUUAAGGGAAGCCAUCUAGGCAUUCUGCACUAUGGUGUGGGACACAAGGGCUCUUACAACCACCGUGUAACCUCUGCUUGUGUCCUCUUCUCCACUCCUGUGACGCUAAGCACCCCUGUAUUCCCACCCUACAUGCUUUUGGAAUAAUCUUGGUACAAAAUAUGCCUUGUGAAGUAUCAUUUGAAAACAAAUAACUCGCUGAUUGUUAAUAUUCUUGUGUGAUGGAAGUACACGACGUCCAUUGUUAUGAAUACAGUCUGCAGUUAUGAUUAAAGUGUGUUUAAACUAGGCAUGCCAUAGGGAGUUGGAAAACAGGUCCGCCCAGGUCUUGAAUACAGAUGACACAGGGUUGAGUAGAUACAAUGGGCUUGCAAUUUACAUGUGCAGUAAACAGAAUUAUUAAGCUCCAAGAUGGUUGGGGGUCAGCAUGUCUAGACCAGGCACGUUGGCAUGGCAGAUAAAGCUAACAAGCGGGGGAAGAGACAGCAUGGCUGUACCCAGCAGGAGAGAGAGGCUUGGUCUGGGUUUCACUUUCCGAAGAAUCUAGUUCAAAGGUUUACUGGGCUAUAAAGACAGGGAGGCUAAGCCUCAAAUAAUAAGCAAUUGAAUCAAUCAAUUGAAUGCAAUAUUUGUGCACCAUGUGAGGUCUUUUAUGAAUGCCUCUAAUACGCUGGUGGGUGAUAUUGUAAAAUGCCUGUAUGAAUGCUAUAGGAGGAAUUAUGAAUACUCAUUCAUAGUAUGUUUUAAAGAGUGUGGCUGAACAAAAUAAGGAAUAGUUCCCGCCCAGAUGAGGGGAGGGGUAGCUAUUUACCUGGUUCCUGUGUAAAUUCAGCAUGAUAGAAUCAAAACAAUGGAAGCCCCAUUUACGUAUAGGGGAUGGGAAGGCCACAGGAAGGGAAGAAGAGCAUGAAAUCCCCUUGUCUCUUGAAACAAGGUCAUUGAACUUAGAAAGCUAUAAGCAAGGACAGAAGCCAUCUUUGGCAUCACCGCUAGACAGACACGAGGCCAGAACUGGGGCAAGCUGAGAAAGAUAGGUCCUUCAACCUCAGGGAUGGGGGGCUUGAAGUCUCUGGAAGUGAAGAUAGGUGAGAAACCUGCUUAGUCAAAGAUCGUUCACCUAAGAAGACAAGGGGAGCCAGCACCUUGGACUUUGGUGGAAGGUCUUGACUGAGGGAAAGUCAGCCAUGGCUGGGAAGAAAAAUGGCUGGUGAGAGAAACCAUCUGGAACAAAGGCUGUAUCUUGCUAAAUUAAGCUUUAGACCUUUAGAAGCAUGUUUUGUUUUGUUGUAACUAUCUUCAUUCCUUAUUCUUGAACUCACUUAAUCCUAUGUACAUUUUGUUAAUGCAUUUAUUUCAUUUUUACCAUAAACCAACGCAGUGCAGUGUUUAAAGGGAAGGGCGUGUUGACCCCCAGUUUAGUUCAUAAGCUGGCAUGUGUUUUUGUGUCUUUAGAGGAAAAAAUUAACCAUAUUAUUUCACUGACCUGGCUAGGAGAGGGCUGGACAUUACAGAGUACACGGGUGUUGGGAAAAUUUGGGUCUGGGAGUGCAUUGGGGUCACCUGCAAGUUGUAGACCAGGCUGGUGGGAGCGGUAGACAGGCAGCUGGGGUCAGAGAUGCUGAACCCAGGCAGUCUCAGGGUGUGACCUACAUGCUGGUAGGCUGGUUGUGAGUAGCCCAGGUUGGGAGCUACAAUGGUAAAGCAUUGUGAGGCGCCCAAGGUUACAGGGCAGGUAGUGACACAACCCCUCACUGGCCUGGUUUGCACCUUGAAUGGACCAUGACAACUCCUCCUUCUUGGGUAGGCAUAUCUGAGCCUAUCACUUAUAAUCACUUAAACUCUAUCUUUGUAGUUAAUAAAUUUGUUUGUUCUACCUGAAGCAGUGCAUUUGAUUUGAAGCAUGUCAGAGACUCCCCUUGGGAUAACAAGCCUGGUGCAUAUCAAUUUCUUUGUUAAAUUGACAAACUCAUAUAAGCUUGCAGCGUCCAGCAGGCAUAACUGGACACUGCAAGAUGGAGGUUCCUAGGGUUGUGUCUGGGACCAGAGAUACUGGCUAAUGUCAUUUGGUUGCACAAUCCAAGGAGCGGCUUACAUGCCAGAGGCUGUGCGCGAACAGCCCAGGAGUGGGGGCUGAGCCGGGUGAGGCUGGCUCCCAGAGUCAAGGAUUGGAGUGACCUAGCAGAUCACCAGUCUGGAUACACACUGCUUCAGGUAGAAUAAACAAACGGAUUUUUUAACUACAAAGAUAGAUUUUAAAUGAUAGGCAAAAAGUCAGAGUGGUUACCAAAAGAAAAGAAAAUAUAAGCAUGCAGUCUAAACUCUCAGCCCUAUUAGACUGGGCAACAUCUAGAUGAAGCAGUUUUUCUCACUCCACUGGAUAGUGCAGUCCUUAAUAUAGAGGUUUGUUCCUUAAACCUGGGCCAAUCUCCUCUGUUGGAGUCUUGUCUUCUCAGUGUCUUAGUUGCUUACAGUGAAGGUGAGGGCAGGAGAAGGGCCCAGUAUGCGUCCACUGUGUCUGUUUUAUACCCUCAGUCCAUGUGCUUGGGGAGCACAAGUCCAGGCAUGUCUGGGGGCAUUGCUGAGUCUCUCCAAGCAAGGUCGAGCAAUUCCCCUGGUGUGGCCUCAUGCAGGAGAGUCAUUGCAAUGUAGCUCCCUUGCUGGACAAUGACUGUUGGUGGGUUGUUUGACACCCCACCCGGGCGUUGUUACUUUCUUUGCUCUUGCCCCUAGGUAGCUAAUAUCUGGCUGAUUCCCCAACUUACAGCAUGUUUUAGUGACCACCAUACAACACAACUCUCAUAACUUCAUAUGCAUUACGGAUACACACACACGGAUAGAGAAAUGACUUUCAGCAGAUCAUAACCUGUCCCCUGCUACCUUAUAAGGCGUGCUUUAUAUGUAAGAUCACGAUUAUGUGGAAAUGAGGAAUAUGGGGGUACGCUCCCCCAAGGUAUAGAAUGUCACAGAGCCCAAGUGUGGAUGUAGUGGCCUAACAUAAGACACCCCACAUUGAAAAUGCUGGUGUUGGGGCCUGAUUUUCAGAGUUUCUGAAGUUAGUGGGAGUUGGGGUGCUCAACAUCAGCGCAUAGGUAUUGAAGGUAGGAUAACCAAAGGACCCAGAAUUAGAAGCCACUUUAGAAAAUUUGUCUCUGAAUGACUUGCCUAAGGUCCUCCAGUGAGUCAGCGGCAGAACAGGGCCCAGAACCCUGGCCCCCGUGUCUGUGCUCCCGCCAGCUGCACCGCACUGUUCCCUGGCGUCAGCUUAAACUGGAAAUCCCAGCUACAGCACCAGCCGCUAUUGCCUGCAAUCAGUGAGCUGUAAGCGAAGAGCCAGUCUUACCUGGGUAAGGUGCCCUUUUGCAUCAGUGCAGGCCGCGGGAUUCCACCAGGUGAUCCAGACAUGAAGUGGUGUGAGGAAUGCUCAGGGAGCCAGCUGUCUGCAUUCUUAUAGGGCCCCCAUCAUCGGGGUAUCUGCUUGGCCUUGGUUAUGGUGCCAGAGCCCUUCUCCCCAUUUUCGUCCUCUCCAUUUGACAAUACAGAGCUGUCUUUCUCGGUGGACCAUCUGCCUCUUCCUUUGUCUGACAGCUGUUCCUGAGUGAGUACUUUCCUGGACUUUCAUGUACCUGGGCUUUCAUGUACCUUUCAAUGAUCACUCACAAAGGGUAACCAAUACCCACUGUGAGUGUGGCAUGGGGGACCAGUUGUUUCCCUUUGCAGUACAGUGCAGUGAUCUCCAUUCCUCUGUGUCUCAUGUUUAUGAUCAGACCCAUGCCUAGACUCUUGUUUGUUUAGAUGCUGCUUUCUCCCUCUGGUUUUUGUUUUUUGGUCUUUUUAUUCACUCUCUGAAAGUAUCAUUAACCCCUCAGUGGACACAAAAAGAAGAGUUAAAUAUUGACUGACUGGGGUACAAAUAUCCUCUUCAACUCUUGCUAACUUUCAAGUACUUAUUUAUUUAGGCCAAUUCCAACUGGUGGGCCAGGUCUGCGCAAUUAGACCUUGAAAACGUUUAAACACUGCAGCCAUUUUAAAUGGCUCGAGGUGAUGGUGAUAAUCCAUGUCGUUAAAGCAGCAAAGGAUUCCAAAGCACUUUGCAAAGGUGCCACCUUGCACAUGCAAGCUACCCUCUGACUUCAGUGAAUGUCUGCAUGUGCAAGGAAUGCGAGAUGAGAACCUAUGCUCAGAGAGCACGGUUGAAAUGCAGCCAUCUCUAGUGUGACCAGCAAGCACACAGCCGUGCGGAGAGGGAAAGCUGGGGAGAGAAUUUCAGGACACUCCCCUUAUGAAAUGUACCAUGGGAUCUUUUUUGUCUCACCAGACCUGUACCCAGUACAUCACACACAAGUCUGUCUGUCUGAAGCUAUACAUUAAGGCUGAGAUUUCAAAAUGUUAAUUUAAUUUUAGCUCAAUCUUUAGCUGGUUGAGUUGUAGCCUAGAUUUGUACCCUGCAUCCAUGCUAGGGAAAAGGUCAAGUUUAGGUCAGGCUUAGCUAGCACAUGUUAAGCUAAACUUAACCUAGACUUGACCACUUUUCCUAGUCAUGACAAACCAGAGCAGCCCCAGACUAAAGGAGCAUGGAGACAUUUCGACCCUUUGGAUCUUCCAGAGGAAAGUGGAAGCCCAUCGGCAGGAGAAGAUUUGCCCUGCUACUGCUCGUGCUGUGCCUAUCCUGGAGCUGAGUAUGAGACUCAGGUACCAGUUGAAAAGCCUUGAGACUAUUCAUAAAUGCACAAUUCACACUGUUAAAAUAAUGAACUAGCCAGAGGUUCCUGGAGGGGCAGUUGUGUUAAUGACCUGAUCGUGUCUUUAAGCAGGCAGACCCUUCGGAGCAUGUUGUAUCAGGAUUUAUAGCCCCAUGUCCUUGGAGCUGUGGUGAAACUUGCUUUGCCCUCAUGGUGCAGGACGAGCUGUUAAGCACUGUGCCUACAGCUACUAGUUUCUAAUUGUUCAUAGUGUUCGUAUAUGGAACCUUUGUGCACUAUUGAUGUGAGCGUGUUGUUCGAUGAUACCCGCUGUGUGCUAGGGGGAGAUGCUCGGGGGUCCUCUCUGGGCAGAGCGCCCACAUGAGAGAGAAGCCCCUUUGCUUUGUUGGAUCUGGUACCCAACCCCUGCUCUGCCUGCCAAUGGGGUUGCCACUGUCAGCAGCUCCCGCGGAGUGGAACUUGAAGAGAUGAGGCCUGGCAGCUGUGUGAGGCCAAGGAAAAGGUACUGGAGGGGUAUUAACUUAGGAACCCUUCUGCUGGAGAUGUGCCAACACAAAGUGGGGUGGGUGUUACCUGGGGGGCUAGCUAGUCCCCCAAGCUGACAAGCUCUCAAGCGGUAGGUUCCAAUCAUGUUGUUUCACAGGGGGUGGAGGGUUUGGGGGUGUGGCUGUCCCUGCACUCUCUGCCUACUCUCUCCUAGUGAACCCAGGCUGCCGAGGGCAGGGUUUCACCCACCGUGUCAAACCCAUCUGGCCCCUGCACCACUGAGAAUCCCUGGCUAGGCACCAUACUCACACCAUGACUUUGCGAUGCCAAUGGACUUACUGAAACCGAGCUGUCAUUUUGUCCCCACUUAAAAGGGAGUGGGGUUGCUGUCCAGGGGAAGGGCAGAACCCUGCUUUGUGAAGGACUCUCGAGGGGGGCAGGGGUUGAGCCAAAAGAGUUUCUGGCCCCUGUAGUGCCCCACAGGGAGAUCUUUCCCUUAAGAAAUCUGCUGCCUUCUCAGUGUGUUACUCCCUCAUGCUUCUGGGGUGUUCCAGAGCUGGGGAAAUGCCACCCCGUGCAGUCUGCCGAUCGCUGAACGAACAGGAGGUGGGUGAAGCCGUCAGGUAAAGCAAGUGAGGUCUUUGGGGAUUUGCAGGAAACUCUGUCUGUUGGACCCCUUGGAGCCACAUUUGUCAAGAGGCUGCUGUGUUUUUAAUUCCUGGCAGUGUUCCCAGACAUCUGCCACUGUCCAGCAGAGGCCACAUGUGGACUUCAGUCUCAGGGGAGUCUCAGCAUUUCCAAAUGUUGAGGAAUUGGGGCUCCACAAUGGAGAGGGGCUCAGCAGAGGCUGGUAAGGUGCCAGUUCGUGUCUGGCUGGAGGAUCUGCACUGGCGGGUUUAAUGGGCCAUCCUUGGAUGGUUCGACACUUGGACUGGGGUUACCCAAGGAUGUUUUCUACCCAAGCUCCCUCUCUGCCCCCCAGUCAUUGUGUCUCGGAUCUGCCUCUUGAUGGUUGUGUUUCUCAGUGGACUUUGUGAUCGAUAGGGAUAUGAUUAUUACACCUUUGCUAUCAGAAGGGCCGUUCAGCACGCCGGGAGGCAAUGGAGGUGUUAGCUGUAGAACAUAGCAGAGAGAAGAUAAGUGUUUUAUCCCAGCCUGACUGGCAGGGAAAGGCCAGGAUGUUACACCAUGGACAGGGCCUGCAUGUCAAGCCUGGGACACUCUGACCUUCUCUUAUUAGGGAGAUUAGAGUUCAGAAUAUUCUGUGCCAUUUGCAGGCAGGCAGGAACAGCCAGGGCAAAAACCGCACUAUUAAUCAGGCCUGAGUGCAGCUAGCUAGCUAGCUCACAGGAACCCGAACGGCUUUUUGCUAGCUGUGGAGCAUGCAGAAACAGUGGCUAAAUCAGUGACUCCCAAAUGAGUUCUUGUCUCAUCUGAGCUAGACCCAAGUCAGGAGUAGCGCUCAGGGCACUGGCUCCCAAACUUAAUUGGCUUCAGUGGCGGGGCAAGAGGGACCAUGAGAGCAGCCCAGGAAGGUGAAGUCUGUGGACGUGGCUCAGGAUUCAACUUCUCCUACACUUAUAUGUACAAGAUCUCCCCUGGCCUGCUGGCUCCCUGCUGCCCCUGUACUUGUUCUUGAGGUACGAUUUGUUUUCUGUUGCUCAGAGCCUGCUAAUGUUCGAUUCAAGAGGAACUUGCUUCAAUUUUCUCUCCUAUCCCCUAUUAAGGAAACAGCAGAGCUGUUAUGCCAAUUAUUGUACACCAGCCCUCCCACUUGGGCUGCUGCUGCUUUCAUUUGUUCAGUGCUUCUCUUUUUUGUUUUGCAAGUCAUGGUGCUUGUGGCUAAUCUAUUGUUCUCAGAGGUUCUAUUGUAUGCAAUGGCUCUGUACAAAGUGCCUUGUUGAUGCCUGGGUUGGGUGGCUGCUGUUUGCCUUGAGUGGCUGCAGAUAAACAAUGCUGUGCCCCUUUGGUGCUCUUUCCCUAGAGACUAAUGAUGUGCAGUUCCAGGUAGAGAAAUCAAUUUUCAGGACUCCAGACAGUGGCCAAGGCUUUGCUAAAGGCCAGAACCAAAGGUGCUGUGUAAAUUGCCCCAAUAUGUGCUGAGCGCAAAGGAGUCAGCUGGUGUAACUGACACACUGAGCAGCUAGAAGAAAGUGCAAGUUAUUGUAAGUGGGGUGCAUGUGCUGCUUUAACAGGUACAUUGUUAGCUGCUUUUCUGCCUUCCCUUCUCUCCCCUGCUCCCUCAGCAUGCAUGAUACACCAGCUCAGACCCCCGUAGACUGGAUGGGCCAGAUUCCAAGAUGGUGUGUCAUCGACGGGGCAUGUUCCAUGUGGCUACGUGUUAGCAAGCCUGUUGGGGUCACAUCUAAGUUGCAUCAGGUUAGGUGCCCUUAGCCUCCCUUCUGAAGUUAGUUUGCAUGGCCCAAUCCUGCUCCUGUUCACUAUUGUGAAGAUGAAGGCAUUCAGCACACUGCAGGCUUCGUUCUUGCAUUCGCCCCUGCCUGCCAUGGCAAGACCAAAACGUGUUGACAUAGUGAACUUCUGUGUCUUUCUCUCCUUUACGCAAAUGGGCAGCAAAGGUCAUCUUCAUUGGCCAAUGUUAACUAAGCCUGAGGGUCUGAUGGACAGGCAGAGAGCUCCAAAGUCAGGGGGCGUGAGCUGGACUCUCCUCUGGGGUGAGAAGAUAUUGUUUCUUUGACACAGCUUUCCUGGAGUUCCCCCAUCAGCCGCAUAGGUAAACUCUAACUGUAUAUCUUUAAAACAACUCAGCAAUCAGGGUUUUUGGAGGGGGCCUUGAAGGUUUGCUUCCUCUGUCAACGCCAGGGUGGAAAGGAGUCUCUGAAGCUCGCCGGCAGAGUUCCUGUUGAGCUGAUCAUUUUAAUGCCGAUCAUAUUUAAUUGUAUUGUUAAUGGUUUGUCAGGACAUGGGCUACGGAUCACAUUAGUUAUUUACAUCUAAAGAAGUCAAUAACUUGAAGCUUGUUCCUGCCCACAGAGUUUUUUGUGCCGACUCCUCAUGGAAGGUGCUCCGAGAUCAUGCUCACAGGCUGCAUUGUAAAGCCCUGGAAAUAUGGGUGGAAUGUGGUUGAUCUCACAUGUUGCUGAUCGCAUGACAGGGACUGUCUUCUAGAAACCAAGGUCGUUAAAAAGACAGCCAGGAACAGGGUUCCCUGUUUGCAGUCACAAGGGGGAAGACAUUAGCCUCUGUUCAAUCCCUGUCACUUUAAAAACCUGCUCUGGCGGUUGUCUGGGAAAGAGCCGCCAUUUCACUGAGCUUCAUUACGUGUAUCCCGUGAGAGGAAGAAUGUGCUGUAAACUGAUUUGGACCCCCUGAUAGCUAGAAGUGGGUAUAGUGCCACGCCUGCUUUUGGAACACCAGCGCCUCUUCCUUCGCAUCUCCCCGUCUUUAUUUGGGGUUGGAACAAAGGCGAGAGACUCUCAUGUUCCAGGCUGCUGCAGAUUGACCCUGAUUGCUCAGGGCUGAUCAAACAGUGCACAGCGUUCAGGGUAAGAGCAUCACAAGUUCCUUGGCUUUUAUGGUAAGGAAUGUCUUUUGGACAUGGCAAGGCGUGUUAAUUAACAAUGGUCAUUGACUCCAGCUUUGACAAAGAUCCAGGCUCUGAGCAGGGAAACACCCACCCCACCUUUUUCGAAACAAGACUUUUUCCAAGUGGUCUGCACUUGGUAUGUUCUGUAGCGCUGGAAGCAACACAAAUAUGGCAGCUGGAACCCUGCCAGCUGAAACAAUUGAACAGAGAGAUGCACUAGAAACGGAAUGGACGACGGACAGGACCAGAAAUCUGAAUGGAGAUUGUCUUGACUUCAUACAGGCAAAACUUAUGGUAAAUAAAUGCAUUAUUCCCUCCCUA